UACGAAGGGACCUAGCGUAGUUCGGAAUUACUGGGCUUAAAGAGUUCGUAGGUGGUUGAAAAAGUUGGUGGUGAAAUCCCAGAGCUUAACUCUGGAACUGCCAUCAAAACUUUUCAGCUAGAGUAUGAUAGAGGAAAGCAGAAUUUCUAGUGUAGAGGUGAAAUUCGUAGAUAUUAGAAAGAAUACCAAUUGCGAAGGCAGCUUUCUGGAUCAUUACUGACACUGAGGAACGAAAGCAUGGGUAGCGAAGAGGAUUAGAUACCCUCGUAGUCCAUGCCGUAAACGAUGUGUGUUAGACGUUGGAAAUUUAUUUUCAGUGUCGCAGCGAAAGCGAUAAACACACCGCCUGGGGAGUACGACCGCAAGGUUAAAACUCAAAUGAAUUGACGGGGACCCGCACAAGUAGUGGAGCAUGUGGUUUAAUUCGAAGAUACGCGCAGAACCUUACCAACACUUGACAUGUUCGUCGCGACUCUAAGAGAUUAGAGUUUUCGGUUCGGCCGGACGAAACACAGGUGCUGCAUGGCUGUCGUCAGCUCGUGUCGUGAGAUGUUGGGUUAAGUCCCGCAACGAGCGCAACCCUCACUUUUAGUUGCCAUCAUUAAGUUGGGCACUCUGAAAGAACUGCCAGUGAUAAGCUGGAGGAAGGUGGGGAUGACGUCAAGUCCUCAUGGCCCUUACGUGUUGGGCUACACACGUGCUACAAUGGUAUCUACGACAGGAAGCAAGACUGCGAAGUUAAGCAAAUCCCUAAAAGAUACCUCAGUUCGGAUUGCACUCUGCAACUCGAGUGCAUGAAGCUGGAAUUACUAGUAAUCGUGGAUCAGCGUGCCACGGUGAAUGCGUUCCCGGGUCU
rnacentral:rRNA from 1 species